CUAUAGGGGAUGAAAUCUUCUUCACUCAUCCUGGAUAAAAGAAUAUUUCACUUGGGCUGGAUUUAAGAAUUACAACCUGGUGGUCAGGAUGAUUGAAACAGAUGAGGACUUCAACCCUUUUCCUGGAGGAUACAACUAUUUGGUUGACUUUCUAGAUUUAUCCUUCCAAAAGAAAGACCAAGCGGGAACAUCCCUAUGAGGAAUCCAUAGCAGGGUCGAUGUCAUCAGACAUGUUGUGAAGAAUGGUCUACUCUGGGAUGACUUGUACAUAGGAUUCCAGACCCGUCUGCAGCGGGAUCCUGACAUAUACCAUCACCUCUUUUGGAAUCACUUUCAAAUAAAACUCCCCCUAACACCACCCAACUGGAAGUCAUUCCUGGCACACUGUAGUUAAAGUGGACCCAAUAUUUCUCAG